CAAGGUACUUUGAUGAUAUUGACACACGACACAAUCGUGAAGGAAGGAACAAAGAGCGUGUUGAUUUGAGAAAAGGUGAUUUUUCUGUGUUCCAGCAUGGAGUCGAUCUACUUGGAGCACCAAGGCUUACAUAUCUUGAAGAUAAUUAUGACAGAAUGGUUUGGUUUGUGCUAAACAAUUGUCCGGAGGUUGAGCAAUAUUUGAAGAUAUACAAGGAAGAGUUAGCGGAUCAAGGAACUCCUUAUGUUCAAAAAACCCAUGAUAAGCAAUUUUCUUUCUGGUUUAAGAAGCAUAUUGCAAAACUACGUUACGUGGAUGGAGAAGACAUUAGUGAUGACCUAUUUGCAUUGUCAUGUGAACCGGACCUUCGGGUUC